rnacentral:rRNA from 1 species
GAAAGUAAGAUCCCUGAAAGGUGAUCAGGUAGAUAGGUUUGGAGUGGAAGUGUAGCGAUACAUGGAGCGGACAAAUACUAAUCGAUCGAGGACUUAACCAAAA